rnacentral:rRNA from 1 species
CCCUUAGAUGUCCUGGGCCGCACGCGCGCUACACUGAGUGUCUGAGAUACGAGUCUACCUGGUCCGGCAAGGUCUAGGUAAUCGCUAAAAGACACAUCAUGCUUGGGAUAGAUUAUUGCAAAUAUUAAUCUUGAACGAGGAAUUCCUAGUAAGCGCAAGUCAACAGCUUGCGUUGAUUACGUCCCUGCCCUUUGUACACACCGCCCGUCGCUACUACUGAUUGGAUGUUUAAGCGAGGUUCUCGAACUGCUAGCGACUUAGCUUCGGUGAGGUCGCAGUGUGGGAAGUGAACCUAGCUUUGGUGUCUAGAGGAAGUAAAAGUCGUAACA